rnacentral:lncRNA from 1 species
AGGAAGAAUGGACUUAUAUGUGUGAUGAUAAGAAGUAACCAGAGGGCUAGCUAAAGAGGAGAGGGAUCAACUUGAGCCAAAAGAAGAGAAGAGAAGGGCCAAAGUGCAAUAUGGGCAGAUCUGAUCGAGAGGGGUCAAAAUCCCUAGGUGGCCUUCGAUCCCCUUGGGCCUGGCACACAUUUCUCUCCCUCAUCCCUCCUUCUCCACCUCCGGCCGCAGCCACGGCCAGGCCGGCAUGGUGGUGCGCCAUCCACCACUCACCACCAUCUCCAGCCACCGCCGCAUCUUGCGCGUCCGAUCAGACAAGGGCGGCGCGGGCGUCUGGUCAUCCGCGUGAACGCCCCCGCGCUGCUGCUCUUUCUCUCUUCCUCCCCUGCUGCUGCUCCUCCACCUUUCUUCCUCUCCUAACCUUGCUGCUGCUCUUCUACUUCUUCUUCCCGCAUCCCCGCUGUCCUGCUCCUUCUCUGAACCUGCUGCUGCUAUUGCGCUUUGCCACUCCCCACGUCUCUACUGCUGCAUCUCUGCUCCUCUCUCCCUAGCGCCACCAUACUGGUGCUCCUUCUCCUUCGCCUGCUGAUACCCCCUUGCCCCACGCCUCUGCUCCUCCUCCUCUUAAAACUGCUGCUGCUCUUCUUUCCCAUGUUCCUGCUCUGCACUCUGCUUCUCACCUCCGUUGCUGCUGUCUCUCUUCUAAACCUCUGCUACCGUUCAGCUCUGAACCAUCUCUGUUGUUCUUCUUCUUUACCAAACCGAACCUACUGCUGUUCUGUGGGUGUGUGAGCCUGUAUGCGUGUGUAUUCAGUGAACUUUUAGUGCUGAGACUUAUUCAAUUGUAAACUGCUUUGCGCUAUUUCAAUAUAUGUGAUUCAUCUGUCAAGUAGCCGUCUGUUACAUUCAGUUUACUUGUUCUGAAUCUUAUUCUAAAAUUGCUCUCUAUUGUAGUCAGCUGAUUUAUCAUUUAAUUUUCAGUCUCCUGUAGCUAUGUACCUGUGAUAUAAGUGUUUGUAAUGUGACCCAUAUCCAUUCUGCUAUAUGUGUUCAUGUCCUGUUGUUCCCUUUGUGUUACUGUUUUAGUUUCUCAUGCAAAUAAAAAUAAUACCAAAAAGACGGAGAGUAUAAUCUGAACCUCCCUUUGCUUCUUUUCAUUUACUUUGUCUGUUGAUUUUCUGGAACUGUCUUAGAUAGCUUAGGUUUAUUUUCCCUGUAAUCGUCACUUAAAUUGUCUAGCCUAGCUUUAGCCAAGCAUCAUCGCUGAUCAUUUAGUCCCUAUGGAGAACACGACAUCCGUAGUUUGGGCAAAUAUUCCACUACAUUUACAAUCGAUCAUUUUGGCGCCGUUGCCGGGGACUAGCAUCGAGCGAUUGUGUGAAGCUAUAGACUAGGCUUAGUAUAGUUCUUGUUUAAAUUGCCAGUCAAAUUUAUUUCUGUGUUUCUUUUACCUUUUUACUUUUUGUUGCUUCGGCUUAUUAGGAUACUAACCCUCUCACCAGAGCUUGAUGUUUGUGAGCGUGUGUAGGAUAUCUUACUGUUUGUAGGCUGAUUGACAGUUGCGCUUGAACAUAUGGCUUUAGUACGUGAUCUUUGGUUGCCAAGUAGUUUGGGCACGAUGACAGGGCCAAUUUGGCCAUCUAUUGAGGCCGAAAAUUUUGAGUUGAGGCCUGGACUUAUUGCUCUCGUCUUGCAGAAUCAGUUUAGAGGAUUACCCAAUGAAGACCCUCAUGAGCACAUUUGUAAUGUCCUAGAGUAUGCCAAUACUGUCCAGUACCAUGGCGUUUCCCAAGAUGCUAUCAAGUGUAUGUUGUUCACAUUCUCUCUCAGAGAUGCUGCUAAGGACUGGUACUAUUCUUUGCCAUCAAGAUCAUACACUUGGGGUGAUAUUUCGCAAGCUUUCCUGCACAGAUAUUUUCCACUUUACAAGCAAGCUGCAAUUCUUGACCAGAUCCUCAGUUUUGCGCAAGAUGGAAGUGAGAGCUUGUAUGCAGCUUGGGAGAGAUAUAAGUAUUUGCUUAAAAAAUGUCCUAAUCAUGGGCAAAAGGAUUGGUUAGUGCUCCAGAUAUUCUAUAGAGGGCUGACACAUGCUUCGAGAGAUCUUAUUGAUCUUUCCGCUGGUGGAACAAUCAUGAACAAGACCGUUGAGGGUGCAAUUAUUCUCAUUGAGAGCAUUGCCUUCCACCAAAUGCAAUGGGGUUAUGAAAGGCCUAGUUCAAAUCCGAAGGUUGCAAGCCAUCUGCAAUCAGAAGCUAUGUGUUCCAUAAGUGAACAGAAAUCAUCCAUGGUGCCUAAUAUUCAAAACCAGCAUGUUCCAUUCCGGGGACAACAACAUUUCAGAGCUGAAUUAGAUCCUCCAUGUAGAAAGAUUGAUCUUACUUCAAGUAUCCUUGAUGAUGAUUAUGAUAUUUUUCAAGAUGAUGCAACCAUUGUAGAUCAGAUGGAAACCACAGUAGCAGAUCCAAUACCUCAUGGCAAUGAAACUGUCCAGACUGAGUCAAAGUUGCAAGAAGAUGUUUAUGAGGAACCUACUCUGAUUGAUGCUAAGUUGAGACAACAAGAUAUGGAGAAGUUCACUUGUGUUAGUCAACUAUGUGACUUGUGGAAUUUAGUCGUGGCACCAAUUGCCCACACCUGUGUUACAACUGUAUCUGGGAUAUUUGUCAAGAAGAAAUCAUUAGCUCCACCGGUGGUUGCCUCUAUCUCAGUUAAAGAGAGUAUCUCAGAGAAGAAUAGUGAAGAUGAGAUUCCAACUCCUGCACAUACAUCUAAGCAAGUCGGAGACAUUCCAAGGAGAGAGAUACAAGAGGUUGAGUCAAAUUUAGAAGAGUUGAUACUUCAAUAUCCUGAGAAGAUCCCACGUGUUGCUGAGCUGCAUGACUGGUGGAAGUCAUCAGUGUCAUUGUUGAAACUUAGUAGUGAUGGUGAUGAGGAGAAUAUUGCUCAGAAAGACAGCGAGGUAGUGAUCUCAGCACCCCUACCAGAUCAUGUUAGUGCAUAUUGACAGAUGGGGACGCUUCAAACUCAAUUAGGUGUUGCUGGUAGUAGCACCAUAGAAGAUCCAGAGGAAGAGAGAUCUCAACUUGAAAAAGAAAUACUCGAAGACGAGGAACAAGAUGAUCCAGAGCUCGAACAACCAAGUGAUCAAGUUGAAGAUUCAUCAUCUACUACUCUUGAAGAAGCAAAAGAAGUUGCUGUAGAUGAACUUGAAGAACCAGAAAUUCAUUUGCCUAUUGUCAUACAAGAGCGUGAUGUAGCAGGUUUAUCUAAUCCUCUUGAUGACAUGCGUCCCUAUGACUUAUUUGCUUCUACCUUGCAUUACAUGAUACCAUCAAUUAAGGUAGAUUUGAGAAAGUAUUUGCUUGGAUAUGAUGAUAUAUACCAUGUUCAUGGCAUUGCUCACAUUUGUUACAAUUACACUUAUUUUCCUCAUGCUAGACCCAUGCUUAAUGAAACAUGUCAUUCUCAUGUUAGUCUGGAGCUUAAUGAUUCAUAUCAUCUUCAUGUUAGCAUUGAGCUUACUGAUUUCUACCAUUCUAAACAUGUGCUUUAUAGCUAUGCUUAUGUAAUUGGGUACUCUAUUGAUGAUUUAGAGGGAAUCUACCCUAUCACUUGUAGUUGUUGUUUGUGUGAGUCCUAUUUCAGGUUUUUGCUUGUGCACGAAUCAAUACAUGCUGACCAGGUUCGAGGUGACAUCCCUUGGGAUCCUGGUGGAGUCAGAGCAUGGCGAUGAGGAGAAGCAAGGGGGCACACACGAGGAAGAGUGAAGCUGGAGCAGGCAUGGGGAUAGAGAAGCAAAAAGAGAAGAGCUGCAGUUUAGAGAGUGUUGAGCGAGUGCUACUUCCUAUAUAAACCCGGUGAGCUGUUUCAUGACCCGAAUCUUAAUAUAUCAUCCAUUGAUACAUGCUGAAAUCAUUUGAUAUUUGCGUUGCUUGAGCCAUUUCUUAAAUGUCGUCCCACUGAAUUUUACCUUUGACAUAUGAUGCUUGAUGUGAAUAUGUGAAGUGAGUGUUGAAUGCCUUGUAAACUAGUGAUCUACACAAUGCUUGCUUUGCUGAAAUUAAUGAAAGUUAUUAGUUUUGAGUGCUCAAAUCUCUAGUACACUAGAAAACUUAAUCAUUUUCUGCUUUUACCUCGAUAAACCUAGAUCAUUAAGUGUUAGAUGCUGAGUUUGUGCCUAUUGUGUUCCCAUUGAGAGCAAUCACUUUACCACUAUGGACUAGUAUGCUAUGUUCCCUGGAUCGGUAGCAUGUGAACCAGACAUGGAGAAGUGAUGAUUCCUGUUUUUGUGCUUAUGUGUUGUUCAUUUAAGAUAAAUAAUAAUGAAUAAUAAGUCUGACUACCUACAGUAGCAUGUCAUGUUCCCGGGAUAGGUGGCAUGUGAAAUCGGGUUAGCUUGGGCAGUAAUUAAUAUUAUAAAAUGUAAUUGUCGAACCAGGUGUAUACCAUGUUCUCGGGAUCGAUGGUAUGUUCCUUUGGGGAGACAAACAAAAAAAACUAAUAAUUGGUCGAGCCAGGUGUAUACCAUGUUCUCGGGAUCGGUGGUAUGUUCCUUUGGUAAGAUCAAUAAAAUAUUAUCAUUGCUUCCUUCAAAUUCAAUAAGUGGUUCAACCACAAUGUUCCUGGUAAUAAGUGAUCUGAUCACAAGUUCAAGUUAUUUUUUUUUGGAUCAAGCUCUCUUUAGGAACCAUUUGGCGCAGUCAUCAUUUAAACUUGUCGAUCCUCUUUUAUCAUUGUAAAAGUUUAAAAUGGUCAUGCUUACUAGUAUCCUAUUGCUUUGUAGCACUCUUAACCAUCAAUUUUCACUAGCUAAGUCCAAAAGCAUGCAUUGUUUAGAGAUCUACUUCACUUGGACAUUCUCUAAUCAGCUCACUAUUCACUAUCUCGCUCUUGUCAUCUGCCUUUACUUGAGGACAAGUAAAGAUUUAAGUGUGGGGGAACUUGAUAUGCACAUUUCAUAUACAUCUUUUGACACUCAAAUAUGCAGUUUAUUGAGAUAUGACCAUCAAUUCUUGCUGCGAAAUAUUGAAUAUUUGCAUGAAAAUCAUAUAAAGAAUCAUUUGCAAGUCAUUUGUUUCUUUUGCAGAAAAGUGCACAAAGGCACUAUAAACUUCCAAGAUCUAGACUAGGUGGCUAAAAGAAUUAGUCAAGUGAAAAGAAGAGAAGGAAGAAUGGACUUAUAUGUGUGAUGAUAAGAAGUAACCAGAGGGCUAGCUAAAGAGGAGAGGGGUCUACUUGAGCCAAAAGAAGAGAAGAGAAGGGCCAAAGUGCAAUAUGGGCAGAUCUGAUCGAGAGGGGUCAAAAUCACUAGGUGGCCUUCGAUCCCCUUGGGCCUGGCACACAUCUCUCUCCCUCAUCCCUCCUUCUCCACCUCCGGCCGCCGCCACGGCCAGGCCGGCGUGGUGGUGCGCCAUCCACCACCAGGAUCCACCACUCACCACCAUCUCCAGCCACCGCCGCAUCUUGCGCGCCCGAUCAGACAAGGGCGGCGCGGGCGUCUGGUCAUCCGCGUGAACGCCCCCGCGUUGCUGCUCUUUCUCUCUUCCUCCCCUGCUGCUGCUCCUCCACCUUUCUUCCUCUCCUAACCUUGCUGCUGCUCUUCUACUUCUUCUUCCCGCAUCCCCGCUGUCCUGCUCCUUCUCUGAACCUACUGCUGCUAUUGCGCUUUGCCACUCCCCACGUCUCUACUGUUGCAUCUCUGCUCCUCUCUCCCUAGCGCCACCAUACUGCUGCUCCUUCUCCUUCGCCUGCUGCUACUCCCUUGCCCCACGCCUCUGCUCCUCCUCCUCUUAAAACUGCUGCUGCUCUUCUUUCCCACGUUCCUGCUCUGCACUCUGCUUCUCACCUCCGUUGCUGCUGUCUCUCUUCUAAACCUCUGCUACUAUUCAGCUCUGAACCAUCUUUGUUGUUCUUCUUCUUUACCAAACCGAACCUACUGCUGUUCUGUGGGUGUGUGAGCCUGUGUGCGUGUGUAUUCAGUGAACUUUUAGUGUUGAGACUUAUUCAAUUGUAAACUGCUUUGCGCUAUUUCAAUAUAUGUGAUUCAUCUGUCAAGUAGCCGUCUGUUACAUUCAGUUUACUUGUUCUGAAUCUUAUUCUAAAAUUGCUCUCUAUUGUAGUCAGCUGAUUUGUCAUUUAAUUUUCCGUCUCUGUGUAGCUAUGUACCUGUGAUAUAAGUGUUUGUAAUGUGACCCAUAUCCAUUCUGCUAUAUGUGUUCAUGUCCUGUUGUUCCCUUUGUGUUACUGUUUUAGUUUCUCAUGCAAAUAAAAAUAAUACCAAAAAGACGGAGAGUAUAAUCUGAACCUCCCUUUGCUUCUUUUCAUUUACUUUGUCUGUUGAUUUUCUGGAACUGUCUUAGAUAGCUUAGUUUUAUUUUCCCUGUAAUCGUCACUUAAAUUGUCUAGCCUAGCUUUAGCCAAGCAUCAUCGCUGAUCAUUUAGUUCCUGUGGAGAACACGACAUCCGUAGUUUGGGCAAAUAUUCCACUACAUUUACAAUCGAU